AUGGAAACAGGAGAGAACAAGAAACGCUAGCGUGAGGGACGUUUUGAACACGAUGAGCGAACAACAGGUACCUACCACAUUUGGACUGGGAGGACAGUGGCCUGCCUGAUGUGACUGUUCCUGAGAUGGGCGAUGUACUGAGUGAUAAACAAAUGGCAGCACUAAGGGCAGCCAUAAAUCCCCUGGGACACUCCCAAUCACAUGGCUCAGACAUCUACCUACUUACUGUGGAGUAUGUCCAGCACUUACUAGGCUUACAGUAAAAUGUACUUAGCAAAGGACCUGAUUCAAUGAUAAUGCAGCACAAAUACAAAAAGAACACUUAUUUACAGAACAGUGCCCCUGCUAAUAACUGGUUUGUAAGAUGUUACAGUAACACAAAUAAAUAUUUCUGAAUCAG